GAAACGCGAUAGGUAAUGUGAAUUGCAGAAUUCCGUGAAUCAUCGAAUCUUUGAACGCACAUUGCGCCUUCUGGUAUUCCGGUAGGCAUAUCUGUUUGAGCGUCAGCAAAAACCCCUCAGCAAUUUAUUUUGUUGGUACUGGGUCGGGAGUAUAACCUGCCGUUCACCGGCAGGCCCUCCCGCCUUAAACUUGCUGCACGACCGCAAGCUAGGGCUAGGUUCAUGAAGUGGUGUUUACAUAUAUUUCAUAACGUAAGCCUUUGGCGAACGGCGUUAAAGCCGAUGUUUCUCUUCGGAGCAACUGAAGUUUGACUUCAAAUCAGAUAAGGAUACCCGCUGAACUUAA
rnacentral:misc_RNA from 1 species